rnacentral:lncRNA from 1 species
GCUUGAAGCUCAUCAAGCCUCUGGUAGAUAUGAUCUACACCUGUAUUCAUAAGGUUAGUCAUGGAAUCAUUCAAAGCUCUCAUCUGCAAGUUAGAUAAACCAGCAAAAGAAUUUUCCAGGUCGGCUCCUUUCUUCUUCACUACUCAUGGUCUUCCUGAAAACUUUUUAUACACAAAAUAUUAGUAGACAAAAGAAAUUGCUUACUCUCUCAAAUG